AGUGAACGCUGGCGGUAGGCCUAACACAUGCAAGUCGAACGGCAGCACAGUAAGAGCUUGCUCUUACGGGUGGCGAGUGGCGGACGGGUGCGGAAUACAUCGGAAUCUACUUUUUCGUGGGGGCUAACGUAGGGAAACUUACGCUAAUACCGCAUACGACCUACGGGUGAAAGCAGGGGAUCUUCCGCCCUUGCGCGAUUGAAUGAGCCGAUGUCGGAUUAGCUAGUUGGCGGGGUAAAGGCCCACCAAGGCGACGAUCCGUAGCUGGUCUGAGAGGAUGAUCAGCCACACUGGAACUGAGACACGGUCCAGACUCCUACGGGAGGCAGCAGUGGGGAAUAUUGGACAAUGGGCGCAAGCCUGAUCCAGCCAUACCGCGUGUGUGAAGAAGGUCUUCGGGUUGUAAAGCCCUUUUGUUGGGAAAGAAAAGCAGCAGGUUAAUACCCCGCUGUUCUGACGGUACCCAAAGAAUAAGCACCGGCUAACUUCGUG
rnacentral:rRNA from 1 species